rnacentral:rRNA from 1 species
CACGUAGUUAGCCGUGGCUUUCUGGUAAGAUACCGUCAAGACUGGAGCAGUUACUCUCCAAUUUGUUCUUCUCUUACAACAGAGCUUUACGAUCCGAAAACCUUCUUCACUCACGCGGCGUUGCUCCGUCAGACUUGCGCCCAUUGCGGAAGAUUCCCUACUGCUGCCUCCCGUAGGAGUUUGGGCCGUGUCUCAGUCCCAAUGUGGCCGAUUACCCUCUCAGGUCGGCUAUGCAUCAUUGCCUUGGUAGGCCGUUACCCCACCAACGAGCUAAUGCACCGCAAGGCCAUCGAUAAGUGACAGCAAAGCCGUCUUUCCAAACACCACCAUGAGGUGGUGUUUCCUAUGCGGUAUUAGCACCCGUUUCCGGAUGUUGUCCCCCGCUUAUCGGUAGGUUCCUUACGUGUUACUCACCCGUCCGCCGCUAACGUCAGAAGUGCAAGCACUUCGUCGGUUCGCUCGACUUGCAUGUAUUAGGCACGCCGCCAGCGUUCGUCCUGAGCCAGGAUA